AACUUGAGCUCUAUUGCUACAAGAGAGAAGAUUCUCCUCAAGGACACACUUAGCAACUUUUAGAUCGUUUACUUGUGUCUGGAGCCUUUCGAUUUUAUCACACAACUCCUUCCUUUCAUUCAUCAUUUUUUCCACAGAUACUAAGAGCAGCCAGCCAGUAAAAUCAUUUUUCGAUUUUUUCCCCAUCUUGUAGAAAGCUUUGUGCACUGAAUCACCUAAUUCAUUAAGAAAAUCAAGGGCAUUAGCUUCUUUAAGUUCGGAAUAUAGUUUCAACCAUGGGUCUUCAAAAUUCUCUGAGCUCCCAGGAGGGAGAGAAUCUGGAGAGGUUUCAAUAUUUGAAAGUGCUGGUGGAUCAACAAGCCAAUUCCAGAAUUUUAAAAGAUUCAUCCUUGUACUUCUGUUACUCUAGAACCACUCCUGGUACCAACUUCUGUAUUAGUCAGGGUUCUCUAGAGUCACAGAACUUACGGAUAGUCUCUAGUUAGUAAAGGAAUUUAUUGAUAACUUACAGUCGGCAGCCCAAUUCCUUACAAUUGUUCAGUCGCAGCUGUGAAUGGAAAUCCAAGGAUCUAGCAGUUACUCAGUCUCACACGGCAAGCAGGCGAAGGAGCAAGAGCAAGAGCUAGACUCCCUUCUUCCAAUGUCCUUAUAUUGUCUCCAGCAAAAGGUGUAGCCCAGAUUAAAGGUGUGUUCCACCACACCUUUAAUCCCAGAUGAAAGGCAUAGCCCAGAUUAAAGGUGUGUUCCACCACACCUUUAAUCCCAGAUGAAAGGCAUAGCCCAGAUUAAAGGUGUGUUCCUUAACUCGGAGAUUCAAUCUUCUGGAAUCCAUAGCCACUAUGGCUCAAGAUCUUCAAACCAAGAUCCAGAUAAGGAUCUCCAAGCCUCCAGAUAAGGGUCACUGGUGAGCCUUCCAAUUCCGGAUUGUAGUUCAUUCCAAAUAUUGUCAAGUUGACAACCAGGAAUAGCCACUACAUUAUCCUUUGAAGGGCUGGAUUCGUGGAGAGUUAAUGGGUGAAUUUAGUUUUGUCGUUGAAUACUUUGGUUGCUCCAUCUAUGGUAAUUGAAAGUUUGGCUGGAUAAAAUAGCCUGGGCUGGCAUUUGCGUUCUCUUAGUGUCUGUUAACACCUGUCCAGGAUCUUCUGGCUUUCAUAGUCUCUGGUGAAAAGUCUGGUGUAAUUUUAGUAUGCCUACCUUUAUAUGUUACUUGACCCUUUUCCCUUACUGAUUUUAAUAUUCUAUCUUUAUUUAGUGUAUUUGUUAUUCUGAUUAUUAUGUGUCAGGAGGAAUUUCUUUUCUGGUCCAGUCUAUUUGGAGUUCUAUAGGCUUCUUGUAUGUUCAUGUGCAUCUCUUUCUUUAGGAUUGGGAAGUUUUCUUCUAUAAUUUUGUUGAAGAUUUAUGCUGGCCCUUUUAAGUUGAAAGUCUUCAUUCUCAUCUACUCCUAUUAUCUGUAAGUUUGGUCUUCUCAUUGUGUCCUGGAUUUCCUGGAUGUUUUGAGUUAGGAUCUUUUUGUAGUUUGUAUUUUCUUUGACUGUUGUCCUAAUGUUCUCUAUGGAAUCUUCUGCACCUGAGAUUCUCUCUUCCAUCUCUUGUAAUCUGUUGCUGAUGCUGGCAUUUGUGGUUCCAGAUUUCUUUCCUAGGGUUUCUAUCUCCAGUGUUGCCUCACUUUGGGUUUUCUUUAUUGUUUCUACUUCCCCUUUUAAGUCUAGUAUUGUUUUGUUUAUUUCCAUCACCGGUUUGGAUGUGUUUUCCUGUUUUUCUAUAAGGACUUCUACCUGUUUGGUUGUGUUUUCCUGUUUUUCUUUAAGGACUUGUAACUCUUUAGCAGUGUUCUCCUGUAUUUGUUUAAGUGAGUCACUAAAGUCCUUCUUGAUGUCCUCUACUACAUCAUGGGAUAUGCUUUUAAAUCUGGGUCUAGCUUUUCAGGUGUGUUGGGGUGUCCAGGACUGGGUGAAGUGGGAGUGCUGCGUUCUGAUGAUGGUGAGUGGUCUUGGUUUCUGUUAGUAAGAUUCUUAGUUUGCCUUUUGCCGUCUGUUAAUCUUUGGAGUUAGUUGUUAUAGUUGUCUCUGGUUAGAGAUUGUUCCUCUCGUGAUUCUGUUAGCCUUUAUCAGCAGACCUGGGAGACAAGCUCUCUUCUCUGAGUUUCAGUGGUCAGAGCACUCUCUGCAGGCAAGCUCUCCUCUUACAGGGAAUGUGCACAGAUAUCUGACGUUCAGACCUUCCUCCUGGCAGAAGAUUAAGGCCUGAAACAGGACCUGUCCCAGAAGCUGUAUUGCUUCAGCAUGUCACAGAGGCUGUUAGCUUCUGUAGUCCACACUCUCACCUGCACAGACUAGUCCCGGAGGGCCCAGGAACCAAGAUGUCUACCCCAGGUGCUCCGGCAAAGCCCUCCUCGGCAGAGUGGACACCUCUCCUCUGGAAGGGAAGAUGCCUGGAUGUCUAGAGCCUGAAAAGGGGUCUGUCUCAGAAGCUGUCCUCUAGGGAUCUUGGGGGUGUCCGCUGACUCUGAGCCCAGUUGAUCCAGUGCUGGCGCCGACUGGAAGGGACUUGUGACCCUGGUCAGGCCGGGUUUCCUGCUUCUCUAAUUCUGUCUCAGGUCCCGUGUGAUUGGAUUGGAACAGAAAUUGUGUUCCACUCACUGGUGGUCCUAAGAUCUCGUGUAGAGUCCUCUAGGGGACCUUGGGGGUGUCCACCAACUCUGCACUCAAGGUGACCCGGUGCUGCCCCCGACUGGAAGGCCCUGUGCAGCUUUUUAGAUUUAUAUUUGUUCCAAUGUAAAUAAAAUAAGGGUCUGAAUUUCUAAGGAAGGAAGGAAGGAAGGAAGGAAGGAAGGAAGGCAGGCAGGAAGGUAGGAAGGCAGGAAGGAAAAAAGAAAAAGAAAUAAAUAAAGAAAGGACG
rnacentral:lncRNA from 1 species